AUCCUGUUGGCGAGUCCCAAAUAGGACGAAAUGCGCAUCCUGGAU
rnacentral:hammerhead_ribozyme from 1 species